GCUGUGGCUCAGUGGUAGGUAGCACAUUUGCUUUGAAUGCAGAAGAUCCUGAGUUCAAUCCCCAGCAUCUCCA